rnacentral:rRNA from 1 species
CGGCAACAGCUCAAAUUUGAAAUCUGGCGCAAGCCCGAGUUGUAAUUUGGAGAGGAUGCUUCUAGGCAGCGGCCGGUCUAAGUUCCUUGGAACAGGACGUCAUAGAGGGUGAGAAUCCCGUAUGCGACCGGUUGGCACCUAACACGUAGCUCCUUCGACGAGUCGAGUUGUUUGGGAAUGCAGCUCUAAAUGGGAGGUAAAUUUCUUCUAAAGCUAAAUACUGGCCAGAGACCGAUAGCGCACAAGUAGAGUGAUCGAAAGAUGAAAAGCACUUUGGAAAGAGAGUUAAAAAGCACGUGAAAUUGUUGAAAGGGAAGCGCAUGCAACCAGACUUGUCGGCGGUGUUCCGCCGGUCUUUUGACCGGUCUACUCGCCGCCGGCAGGCCAGCAUCACUUGGGACCGCCGGACAAAGGCCACGGGAAUGUAGCUCCUCGGAGUGUUAUAGCCCGCGGCACAAUACGGCGCGCCCCGAGUGAGGUCCGCG